rnacentral:rRNA from 1 species
UGGCGGACGGGUGAGUAACACGUGAGAAACCUGCCCUGAAGACGGGGAUAACAGAAGGAAACUUCUGCUAAUACCCGAUACCCCCACCGGAUCGCAUGGUCUGGUGAGGAAAUGGAUUCCGCUUCAGGAGGGUCUCGCGGCCUAUCAGCUUGUUGGUGAGGUAAUGGCUUACCAAGGCUUGGACGGGUAGCUGGUCUGAGAGGACGAUCAGCCACACUGGGACUGAGACACGGCCCAGACUCCUACGGGAGGCAGCAGUAAGGAAUAUUGCGCAAUGGGCGAAAGCCUGACGCAGCAACGCCGCGUGCGGGAUGAAGGCCCUCGGGUUGUAAACCGCUUUCAGUAGGGAAGAAAAUGACGGUACCUACAGAAGAAGCCCCGGCCAACUACGUGCCAGCAGCCGCGGUAAU